UUUUUUUUGUUUGUUUGUUUGUUUUGGCUGCAACAUGAUGUGGGAUCUUAGUCCCCAGACCGUAAAUCAAACCUUGGCUGCAGCAGUGACAGUGCCAAGUCUUAACCACUAGGCCACCAGGGAACUCCCCAUUAUUUUAUUAAAUAAUCAAAAUGUAUGCUUAAAAUGAUGAAUUUUAUUUUAUGUAAAUUAUGUCUUAAUGAAGUUGAUAUGAAAUGAAAAGGAGAGGUGGACCUUCUACUUUCCUCUUUGAAUUUAUGCCUAAAAUGAGGGUUUGGAAAGAUGUUCCUUUUAGUAGCUAUAACACGUGAGUUUCCUAAGCAAUCUCUGACAUGAACAUAAACUAGAAUAUUAUUGUAUUGCCUGAGUUUUGCAGCAUUGCAGGUGCCUGGAAUUAAUAACUUGGAGAACUUUUUUCUUUUUAAAAUAAAACAUUCAAUUUUUAGGAAGAUUUUCUGCUUGAGCACCUUGGGUAUCAGGCAAUGGCAUCAACUAAUAAUGUAUUUCACUUUAGCUCUGUUAGAGAAGGAUUUGAGCUAAGACUUCAGAGUUGUAAAGGAAAAAUGUUUUCUAGUCAAUGGAAUCCUGUCAAUAAAAUAAAUAUUUUGGGUAUGGUAAUACAAAAGAGGAAAAUUGCCCCAGGGAUAGAUCUCUUGGAUUUGAGGAAGACUGAAGAAUUUGAGAACUGCCAAAGUUAUUAAAAUAUCUUACAUGCAAGCCCAAUCAGCAUUUUAGCUUCUUCACCAAAACAUUUCAAUUAAUUUUCCCUACUGUGAGUUAUCUCGAAAUACUCCCUGAAGAUAGAUACUAUCUUACUUGCAUUUAUAUUUCUCUCAGUUUCCAUUUGCACAUGGGGCUGUUUCUAGGCCCAGCAUACAUAUUUUGUUGAUCUAUAUCUGCUUUUUGGCCGUUCCAAAUGUAGGCUUUACUUUUUCUUCUAAUGCAACCCCUCAAAAUUUAUUUCUCUUCUCUCAAAUUCUUUCUGGUGACUCUUGUUCCAGAUGAACUGUAGACUUAAUUUAGCCAUAUCUAAAUAUUGGUGGUAAUGAAGGAAUUGGAGGCUGAUAAAAGUUUAAACUGACAUAGGCAGCAACACUGGAUUUUCUUUGCAGAAUGAUUCAACAUGAAACUGUGAUAAAGGAGAUGUUUUCUCUGAAGUAGGAAGAUGUUAAAUACAUCAUGCUGGAGCAAUGGAGUUGUAGGAAAGAUUUCAUUACAUAUAAUUUGGGUUUCCAUUUGCUUUGCCGAGGCUUGGGCAUGUAUUAGUUACAGCAGUAGCUCUAACAGGUUCUCAAAUCUCAUGUGUUCAACAGAAUAAAAUUUGCUGUUAGGUCACGCAAAGUUGCUCUUGCAAGUCCUGGUUGUCAUUAACAAAGCCAGGCUCCUUCUGUCUUAUAGCUCUGCAUUUCCAUGGCUUGGGAACAUAUUAGGAGUCAGGCUUAGAAGUGGUGUACAUCACGUCUGCCACAUUCCGUUGACUUACAUGCUUUCUUUUGUCUCCUCCUGCACUAUAAUGAGACAGUUUGGGAAAUUUACUCUAUUUUGAUCAUGAGCGAGAAAAGGGAACCAGGUUUGUUGCAGCAAUCGAUGUCUCUGUAGCAUAUAAGUGCCCUGCACACACUAAAUAUAAAUUCAAUUACUUUUUAAUUAGGACCCUCAGAAUGUCGCCUCUCUGACCUGGAAUAAAAGUGACACAUAGUGAAGACAGAUUUGGAUUCUCCACCCUUGGAGGCAUUUCUGGUACUGACUGCAGUCGAGGUUGAGCCAAGAAAUGCUGCUCACCAGGCUGGUGAGAGAAAGUUCAAAUGUGUUUGCAUGUGUGUGUCACACUGAACUCACUGCCUCCGAAGCAUGUGGCAUUCCCUCUAGCAACAGUAAGAAAUUUUACUGCUGCCCAGUGAUGGAUGCACAUGGAAUUGAUA
rnacentral:lncRNA from 1 species